AGCUCCAAUAGCGUAUAUUAAAGUUGUUGCAGUUAAAAAGCUCGUAGUUGGAUCUCAGGUCCCGGCUCGCGGUUCACUUCACGGUGCUUACUGCCCGUCCGGACCUACCCGCCGGUUUUCCCUUGGUGCUCUUCACUGAGUGUCUCGGGUGGCCGGAACGUUUACUUUGAAAAAAUUAGAGUGUUCAAAGCAGGCGCUUCGCCUGAAUAAUGGUGCAUGGAAUAAUGGAAUAGGACCUCGGUUCUAUUUUGUUGGUUUUCGGAACUCGAGGUAAUGAUUAAGAGGGACAGACGGGGGCAUUCGUAUUACGGUGUUAGAGGUGAAAUUCUUGGAUCGCCGUAAGACGAACUACUGCGAAAGCAUUUGCCAAGAAUGUUUUCAUUAAUCAAGAACGAAAGUA
rnacentral:rRNA from 1 species